rnacentral:ncRNA from 1 species
AAUAGGCUUGGUCCUGGCCUUUCUAUUAGCUCUUAGCAGGAUUACACAUGCAAGCAUCCCCGCUCCAGUGAAGACGCCCUACAAAUCAUCAUGACCAAGAGGAGCAAGCAUCAAGCACGCACACGCAGCUCAAAACGCUUUGCCUAGCCACACCCCCACGGGAGACAGCAGUGACAAAUAUUUAGCAAUAAACGAAAGUUCAACUAAGCCAUGCUAUAUUUAGGGUUGGUCAAUUUCGUGCCAGCCACCGCGGUUACACGAUUAACCCCAGCUAAUAGGGAUCGGCGUAGAGGGUGUUUAAGAUCUAACAUAAUAAAGCUAAACUCCACCUAAACUGUAAAACCCUAGCUAAUGUAAAAUAAACUACGAAAGUGGCUUUAAAGCUUCUGAACACACAAUAGCCAAGACCCAAACUGGGAUUAGACACCCCACUAUGCUUGGCCCUAAACCUCAGUAAUUAGAUAACAAAACUACUCGCCAGAAUACUACAAGCAACAGCUUGAAACUCAAAGGACUUGACGGUGCUUUACAUCCCCCUAGAGGAGCCUGUUCCGUAAUCGAUAAACCCCGAUCCACCCUACCCUCUCUUGCUCAGCCUAUAUACCGCCAUCUUCAGCAAACCCUAAUGAAGGCCACAAAGUGAGCGCAAACGCCGCCGCCGCGAAUACGUUAGGUCAAGGUGUAGCCCAUGAGACGGUAAAAAAUGGGCUACAUUUUCUAUUUCAGAAAACCCACGAAAACCCUUAUGAAACUUAAGGGUCCAAGGAGGAUUUAGCAGUAAAUUAAGAAUAGAGUGCUUAAUUGAACCAGGCCAUAAAGCGCGCACACACCGCCCGUCACUCCUCUCAAAUAUAUUUAAGGAAUAUCCUAACUAAACGCCCUAAUAUUUAUAUAGAGAGGAUAAGUCGUAACAUGGUAAGCGUACUGGAAGGUGCGCUUGGAUAAAU